AUUGAACGCUGGCGGCAGGCCUAACACAUGCAAGUCGAGCGAGCGGCGGACGGGUGAAUAAUGUCUGGGAAACUGCCUGAUGGAGGGGGAUAACUACUGGAAACGGUAGCUAAUACCGCAUACUUCCGGAUUGUCCCAAAUGGGAUUAUCUAGUAGGUGGGGUAACGGCUCACCUAGGCGACGAUCCCUAGCUGGUCUGAGAGGCUGAGCAGCCACACGGGAACGGAGACACGGUCAAGACUCCUACGGGAGGCAGCAGUGGGGAAUAUUGCACAAUGGGCGCAAGCCGGAUGCAGCAAUGCCGCGUGUGUGAAGAAGGCCUUCGGGUUGUAAAGCACUUUCAGCGGGGAGGCGUUACCCGCAGAAGAAGCACCGGCUAACUCCGUGCCAGCAGCCGCGGUAAUUC
rnacentral:rRNA from 1 species